GACGUGUGAGAGCAAAAACAAAUUGAACAUGUCAAUCACAAACAGACAUCAGUUAUAUAUAUUAUUUUUGUUUGUUUUUUUAGUAUUUCUUCAGUCCUGCUGACACACAGGGAGGAAACAGAGGCUGAGGACUGUCCAUCACCCAUGAUGAACUUACAAAGGUAGUCAAAGUGCUCCUUCGAAUUUUGUAAAUUAUUUAGCUAAAAUUUAAAUCUAAUUUUUUGUUUAAAAAAAAAAAACACACACACAAUAAUGCAACCACAAGGGGGCACUACUCAGUGCUUUCUUGUGCCGGUCCCAAGUCCGGAAUAAAUGCAGAGGGUUGUGUCAGGAUUAGGAUCUAGAUUAAGACUAAGCCUCACUCUUUUGGCACAGCCUUCCCAGCACACUACGGCAUACAAGAGGAUGCUGGAGACGACUGACCGCUAAAACAUCUGCAGAAGAUUCCAGCAGAUGUUGAAGCUGGCCAGUCUCCUCAGGAAAUACAUCCUGCUCUGACCUUUUUGUGUACACUCCCUGUGUGUACAAACACAAUAAUGCAACCAGAAGGUGUGCCCCAAGGGUUUCUCCUGGGACCACUUUUGUUUAUUAUUUAUCUUCUCCACCUAGGUUACAUUUUUCACAAACAAAAAAUCAAUUCUCACUGCUUUCUUGGUUGUAUUUAUAUUACAUGAAAGCACAACAGCCUUGUUAUAUGGUGAUGAUGCCAUAUUUUCUUUGUGCAUAUGUAAUAAUAAAAAAGUCAGAGUAUGAGAAUGAAUUUUAUUUGAUAAAUAACCUUGUUUUUUUUGUCCUUUCCAAGAGCUAAGCAAGCAGAUUAGAUCUUGGUUUUAGUAGCAAGUAUUCAAAUUAAAUAUUACAUUUUGUGUUGGUCUGAAUUUACUGUUAGGGGUGUCAUAAGUAAAUUGCAUGACUUAGUACUCAUAUAUCCCCUCCUAUACAUACUAACAAAUAGUGGAAAAAAAGUUAAAAAAAAAAAAAAGAAUAAAUACAAUUUUUGAGGUGUUUUUUACGGUGGCCCUGAAGGGUUACAACACACACUUAAAGUUCCCAGUGAACUUAAAGUGUGCAGCGGGCAGUGAAGUUAAACUGUUGUCUUGUGACCCUUUAAGGCCACCGUAGGUUUUUGAGAAAAAGAUAAACAAAUUAAAUAACUUUUGUUGCCACUUUUCACAAAAGCUGUCGCAGUUAUCAUAAAUUUCUCCCGCCAAAUGCUGGAGGUUCUGACUAGAAAAACACUCGGUGAGGCCUGCAGUACCGCUUCCUGCCUGAAGGCAGAGGGCGCUGGUGAGUCCGGAGAAUGUGACACUGCGGCUAAAGAAUAAUAGAAGUAGAGCUAGCAAGUCAAAUGUAGCCGUCCAAAUAUUCUUUAGUACUGUUUAGCAUAAUUUUCUGAACGGAGGAUUCAACUGUCAAAGGUUUAAAUUCAGGAGUUUGUUUAAAGACGAAGGAGCAGCGAAUGGACUUCACUUAUAUAAGUAAAAAUCCACAGACGAGUCGUUUACCGACUAAACAUCCCCUCACGUGAGCGCGGAGGACUUAGGUGUUAACCCUGUCACAUACAACAGGACACACCAAGGGUUGUCGACGGCGAGAAAAGUGGCGACAGAACGGACUCGCACAAAGGUACGGAAACCCAAGCUGGAGGGAUUGAAGCGCGUGCGGGACAAACGGCCUCGCGCGGACGCGUUUAGGGUCCAGACGCUACCGAUUCGUCUGGCCAUCGUAAAUCAGACCAAUAAAGAGAUCUAAAUUAGGCCAUCAUCAGCGCAGAUGGGCCUCUGCCUUGGAGUCUGAAUGUGUUGUGAGUUUUAAAAAGUGGGGAAGAAAAAGGGAAAGAAAGACGUUUUGUUUCCAGUAAACAGAAUUGGCGUAAUUGCUCCGGCUUGGUGGGUAAAUAUUGGAUGAGGGGAGGCUCAAUGACUGUCUUAACACACACACACACAAACGCACAGAAGGACAAGAGGCUGUAAAUCUCUACAUCAUCGACCAACAAAGAGGCCUGCAGGGACGACUUCUCUCCUCUUUCUCUUGCACUGCAAAAAUAAGGAGCCUAAAUCUAGGAAAAGAACACAAAUUUACAAAGAGAAUCUGUAGAAAGUAGUAAAAUGGUGUCUAUACAUUGAAACAUUAGACAAGAUACCCUACAAGACAUCAAUAUCUACAACGCACAAGAAUUCAAAAUAGGGAAAAAUAAGCUAAAAAAGCUACUUAUUCUAGAAAACGCUAAACACAUAUCAUGGAACAUAUAUUUAGCCGAUGAUGUGCUCACUCAAUUUGGACACUAUGCUUUCUACUUUUUGUUUUUUUUAAAUGGCGGAUAUGACUUCACAGAUUUCACAAAGUGAAAACCGAAUCAAUGCCAACAUUUGACGACGUCUGUUUAUGACUCCACUGUGUUUUGAUGAUGAAAACGUUGGCGGUUUUUUAUAGAUUACAUUUAAUUUUUUUUUAUUUAUUUUUUCCCGUGGUCUAUAUGUGCCAAUGUAGUGAACAUUGAUAUACACUAGUUUUUCGCAAAGACUUUUGGGAAAUUUCUAGGUAAUGCAAUUUUGGAAAUGUAGGCAAUUGUAGGCAACACCUUAAUUCCUAACUACUAAGAAACUAUAUAGUGUGGGACUAUCUAGUGCGCUGGAUUUUAAAAGCAAUUCGGACACUUUACUUUUGUUUUUCUGAACGCCGGAUAUGACGUCCCCAAUUUCACGAAGUGAAAAGCGAAUC